AACGAACGCUGGCGGCAGGCCUAACACAUGCAAGUCGAGCGCCCGCAAGGGAGCGGCGGACGGGUGAGUAACGCGUGGGAACGUGCCCUUUGCUACGGAAUAGCCUCGGGAAACUGAGAGUAAUACCGUAUGUGCCCUUCGGGGGAAAGAUUUAUCGGCAAAGGAUCGGCCCGCGUGGGAUUAGGUAGUUGGUGGGGUAAUGGCCUACCAAGCCGACGAUCCAUAGCUGGUUUGAGAGGAUGAUCAGCCACACUGGGACUGAGAACACGGCCCAGACACCUACGGGAGGCAGCAGUGGGGAAUCUUAGACAAUGGGCGCAAGCCUGAUCUAGCCAUGCCGCGUGAGCGAUGAAGGCCUUAGGGUUGUAAAGCUCUUUCGUGGGGGAAGAUAAUGACGGUACCCCAAGAAGAAGCCCCGGCUAACUCCGUGCCAGCAGCCGCGGUAAUAC
rnacentral:rRNA from 1 species